rnacentral:tRNA from 1 species
GCGGUAGGAUAGGGCCAGUCAAUAAUGGUCUGCAAAACCUCCAUUCACCAGUUCGAAUCUGGUUGCCGCCUCCA